AAGCGCCCUGGAGUCCCGGGCACUUUGCGGUCCAGGCAGCGGCUCCAGCCCCCUGUAAGCAGGGCGGCAGCCUCCCUGACCGCUGCUUUGCACGCCCAGCUGCCUUUGCCCAGAGGGCCCGGCUCCCAGCAGCGGAUGGGACCUCGCCGCGCGUCGCCGUGGAGCCGUCGGAGAAGACAGCGGAGACACCGGCGCGGGCAAGAAGAGCGGCGGCUUGGAGCUGAAGAGGGGGCGCGAGAAGGGCCCUCUGGGCAAAGGGACCCCCCCGGCAUCCCCGGGGCAGGGAUACCUAGGAGUCCGGUGGGCACCUUCGGGCUGCCCCGGCCGGCUUAGCGCUGGGCGCCCUCCCUGUAAGCAGGGCUGGGUCUUUGCGGUGCUUGGCGGCGGCCUUUUGCCGUCGUCGCGCUCCUGAGGCUGCCCGGAGAGAGGCUGAAGCACCCUGUAAGGAGGGUGAGAGCCCCCGUCUCCGCACCCGCGGGGGGGAAACGGAGCUCUCCCGACCCCCAGCCCACCCUGUAAGCAGGGCAGGGCUUUUCCCCUUGGCACCUCGGUGCCUGCUGGCGGCCCCUGGCCAGAGUGAGGCCCCUGUAGUCGGGGUGCGUCACAGCCUCUGCGCCUGGGCCAGCCGCGAAGCCCCUCAGCGCCUCGAGGCCCUUCUGGCCCGUGCGCAGCCCGGGGGCGGGUCUGAGGCCCUCCUCUCCUGCUCGACGGCAGACAGGGCUGGCUCCCCACGCGUUGGCGCGCAGAGCUCGCUCCCCCUUCUGGGACGUUCCCUCCCCCCUUGUGUCUUUGUCGGUGUGAGUGAGCGAGCGAGCUUGUCCUUUAGCCCCCGUAGAAAGCAGAGAGCAGCGUAGCUUAGACUUCCCAGGAGGGAAAGAGGGGCUCUGCGCAGCAACCGGGGGCUGCCCUCUAAAGCCGCGGGCGGAGACACGGCCCGGCCUUGCCCCUCGUUCCCGAGGAGGGAGCGAAGCCCCUUCCUUAGUGGUGGCGCGGGCAGCGUGCCCCGGCCGUAGCCGGGGCCUGGGGCGCGCGCCCGCGCGGCGGGGCCGCCUGUCCCGGCAGGUGCCGGGCCAGCGUGGCACGUCCCCCCCACCCCGUCCUCGGGGCUGGGGCCCUUUUCCCACCGGCCUUGGGCCGCGAGGCCACCCUUUGGGAGUGCCGGGCCUCGGGGGGGGCGGCCCCGUAAGUGGGGUUUUGUGCGUCCCCCCCUGCUCGGCGGGCGGUUGGAGGGACCCCCCUGUAAUCAGGCGGGUGUCCCGCGGGGUCCCCGGCCUUU